CGCUUCUCGCUGGAGUGCGCACCGAGCGGCAGUGACUUCGCCGCUGCUGUAGUUCCCCGGCUGGAUGCGGUGACUGGUGCCAGUGCUCAGGCGCCCGCUGCCCUUGACCUCCCGCCCCGCGAGCCCUAACUCAGCGCAGGAGGACCGGCUGCCGCCGCCGCCGCCGCCAGAGCCUUGGCUGCCCAGUUGCCAGUCCUACCACGGUCGGAGGUAACCUUCCUGGCUCCAGUCACAUGGCCAGAUAAGGUGGUGUGUGUGGGCAUGAAUUAUGUGGACCACUGCAAAGAACAGAACGUGCCCGUGCCCAAGGAGCCCAUCAUCUUCAGCAAGUUUGCCAGCUCCAUCGUGGGGCCCUAUGAUGAGGUGGUCCUCCCACCACAGAGCCAGGAGGUAGAUUGGGAAGUGGAGCUGGCCGUGGUCAUUGGAAAGAAAGGCAAGCACAUCAAGGUGAAGUGGAAAAGAUCCACACAACUUAAAGAUCUGCUGUCGAGUGAAUGGGGAAGUGGUCCAGAGCAGCAACACCAACCAGAUGGUAUUCAAGACAGAGGACCUGAUAGCCUGGGUGUCCCAGUUUGUUACCUUUUACCCAGGGGAUGUCAUCCUGACUGGGACCCCCCCACCUCCACCCAGGUGUCGGUGUAUUCAGGAAACCUCCUGUCUUUCUCAAGAAGGGGGAUGAAGUCCAGUGUGAGAUUGAAGAACUAGGUGUCAUCAUCAACAAGGUGGUGUGAUGGCUCCUGCACAGGCCCUGCACAUAGGAUGAGGGCAUCUGCUCCCACUCAGCCUAGCCCAGGGAAAGGCCCAGUGACAGGUGUGGACAGGUGCCAGCCCUGCAAGCCGCCUCUUCUCGGUAGAAGGGAGAAGGACAGAGCUCUCUUCAAUAAAUUCGUCGGGUCAAAGCAGCA
rnacentral:lncRNA from 1 species